rnacentral:rRNA from 1 species
UGGGGAAUUUUGGACAAUGGGCGCAAGCCUGAUCCAGCCAUGCCGCGUGAGUGAAGAAGGCCUUCGGGUUGUAAAGCUCUUUCGGUGGGGAAGAAAUUGCUUCGAUUAAUACUCGGGGUAGAUGACGGUACCCGCAUAAGAAGCACCGGCUAACUACGUGCCAGCAGCCGCGGUAAUACGUAGGGUGCGAGCGUUGAUCGGAAUUACUGGGCGUAAAGCGUGCGCAGGCGGUUGUGUAAGUCAGAUGUGAAAUCCCCGGGCUCAACCUGGGAACUGCAUUUGAGACUGCACGGCUAGAGUGUAGCAGAGGGGGGUAGAAUUCCACGUGUAGCAGUGAAAUGCGUAGAGAUGUGGAGGAAUAUCGAUGGCGAAGGCAGCCCCCUGGGUUACUACUGACGCUCAUGCACGAAAGCGUGGGGAGCAAACA